rnacentral:rRNA from 1 species
CAAUAGCGUAUAUUAAAGUUGUUGCGGUUAAAAAGCUCGUAGUUGGAUUUCUGUUGGGAACGACCGGUCCGCCCAUUGGGUGUGUAUCUGGCUUGUUCUCGGCAUCUUCUUGGUGAACGUUGCUGCACUUGACUGUGUGGAGCGCUACCCAGGACUUUUACUUUGAGGAAAUUAGAGUGUUUCAAGCAGGCAUAUGCCUUGAAUACAUUAGCAUGGAAUAAUAAGAUAGGACCUCGGUUCUAUUUUGUUGGUUUCUAGAGCUGAGGUAAUGAUUAAUAGGGAUAGUUGGGGGCAUUCGUAUUUAACUGUCAGAGGUGAAAUUCUUGGAUUUGUUGAAGACGGACUACUGCGAAAGCAUCUGCCAUGGAUGUUCUCAUUG